rnacentral:rRNA from 1 species
GAUGAACGCUGGCUACAGGCUUAACACAUGCAAGUCGUGGGGAAACGGCAUUAUGUGCUUGCACAUUCUGGACGUCGACCGGCGCACGGGUGAGUAUCGCGUAUCCAACCUGCCCCUUACUUGGGGAUACCCCGUUGAAAGACGGCCUAAUACCCGAUGUGUUUCAUUGACGGCAUCCGAUAUGAAACAAAGGUUUUCCGGUAAGGGAUGGGGAUGCGUCUGAUUAGCUAGUUGGCGGGGCAACGGCCCACCAAGGCGACGAUCAGUAGGGGUUCUGAGAGGAAGGUCCCCCACAUUGGAACUGAGACACGGUCCAAACUCCUACGGGAGGCAGCAGUGAGGAAUAUUGGUCAAUGGACGCAAGUCUGAACCAGCCAAGUAGCGUGCAGGAUGACGGCCCUAUGGGUUGUAAACUGCUUUUAUGUGGGAAUAAAUUGGCGCACGUGUGCGCCAUUGCAUGUACCUCAUGAAUAAGGACCGGCUAAUUCCGUGCCAGCAGCCGCGGUAAUACGGAAGGUCCGGGCGUUAUCCGGAUUUAUUGGGUUUAAAGGGAGCGUAGGCCGUGGAUUAAGCGUGUUGUGAAAUGCAGGUGCUCAACGUCUGCACUGCAGCGCGAACUGGUCCACUUGAGUGUGCGCAACGCAGGCGGAAUUCGUCGUGUAGCGGUGAAAUGCUUAGAUAUGACGAAGAACUCCGAUUGCGAAGGCAGCUUGCGGGAGCACAACUGACGCUGAAGCUCGAAAGUGCGGGUAUCGAACAGG